rnacentral:rRNA from 1 species
AAAUUGAAGAGUUUGAUCAUGGCUCAGAUUGAACGCUGGCGGCAGGCCUAACACAUGCAAGUCGAACGGUAACAGGAAGCAGCUUGCUGCUUUGCUGACGAGUAGCGGACGGGUGAGUAAUGUCUGGGAAACUGCCUGAUGGAGGGGGAUAACUACUGGAAACGGUGGCUAAUACCGCAUAACGUCGCAAGACCAAAGAGGGGGACCUUCGGGCCUCUUGCCAUCAGAUGUGCCCAGAUGGGAUUAGCUUGUUGGUGAGGUAACGGCUCACCAAGGCGACGAUCCCUAGCUGGUCUGAGAGGAUGACCAGCCACACUGGAACUGAGACACGGUCCAGACUCCUACGGGAGGCAGCAGUGGGGAAUAUUGCACAAUGGGCGCAAGCCUGAUGCAGCCAUGCCGCGUGUAUGAAGAAGGCCUUCGGGUUGUAAAGUACUUUCAGCGGGGAGGAAGGUGUUG